UUGACAGAUUAUUGUAUUCGACUGUAUUCACAACUUGAAACAGGGGAUUACACUGUUUUUAAACGGAAAGUGAAUCAAUUAACAUAAUAGACUCCU
rnacentral:pre_miRNA from 1 species